UACGUAGGGUGCGAGCGUUAAUCGGAAUUACUGGGCGUAAAGCGUGCGCAGGCGGUGAUGUAAGACCGAUGUGAAAUCCCCGGGCUUAACCUGGGAACUGCAUUUGUGACUGGCGGGCUAGAGUAUGGCAGAGGGGGGUAGAAUUCCACGUGUAGCAGUGAAAUGCGUAGAGAUGUGGAGGAAUACCGAUGGCGAAGGCAGCCCCCUGGGCCAAUACUGACGCUCAUGCACGAAAGCGUGGGGAGCAAACAGG
rnacentral:rRNA from 1 species